rnacentral:rRNA from 1 species
UCCUACAACAUAGAAAUAAUACACUGGAUCCCAUUAUAAAUCCAUAGUUAAGAAUGCUCAUGCUAGAGUAGUACUGGGAUGGGUGACCUCCUGAGAAGUCCUAGUGUUUUAUAGGAC